rnacentral:pre_miRNA from 1 species
UUAACUCAAGUUUGUAUGCAGUUGGAACAGCGCCCCUAGCGGCAAACGUAGGCAAACAUUCCAACUCCAUACAAAUUUGAGUUA